ncrna:unclassified sequences Glutamine-II riboswitch (downstream peptide RNA)
GUCCGUUCAUCGCUUAUGCGACGCAUGUAAUCAAGUCAUGGAACGGGGGCUUGGU